rnacentral:rRNA from 1 species
UCCGGUGCUUCGAGCGGAGAGGAAACACCCGUUCCCAUUCCGAACACGGAAGUUAAGCUCUCCAGCGCCAAUGAUACUUGGGCCUUGCUGCCCUGGGAAAGUAGGCCAGUGCCGGUA